CUACGGGUGGCUGCAGUGGGGAAUCUUGGACAAUGGGCGCAAGCCUGAUCCAGCCAUGCCGCGUGAGUGAAGAAGGCCUUAGGGUCGUAAAGCUCUUUCGCCAGAGAUGAUAAUGACAGUAUCUGGUAAAGAAACCCCGGCUAACUCCGUGCCAGCAGCCGCGGUAAUACGGAGGGGGUUAGCGUUGUUCGGAAUUACUGGGCGUAAAGCGCGCGUAGGCGGAUUAGUCAGUCAGAGGUGAAAUCCCAGGGCUCAACCCUGGAACUGCCUUUGAUACUGCUAGUCUUGAGUUCGAGAGAGGUGAGUGGAAUUCCGAGUGUAGAGGUGAAAUUCGUAGAUAUUCGGAGGAACACCAGUGGCGAAGGCGGCUCACUGGCUCGAUACUGACGCUGAGGUGCGAAAGUGUGGGGAGCAAACAGGAUUAGAUACCCCUGUAGUC
rnacentral:rRNA from 1 species